rnacentral:rRNA from 1 species
CGGCAAGCCUGACCCAGCCACGCCGCGUGAGUGAUGAAGGCUUUCGGGUCGUAAAGCUCUGUGGGGAGGGACGAACCGCCCUGGUCUAAUACAUCAGGGUCUGACGGUACCUCCUUAGCAAGCACCGGCUAACUCCGUGCCAGCAGCCGCGGUAAUACGGAGGGUGCAAACGUUGCUCGGAAUCAUUGGGCGUAAAGCGCGCGUAGGCGGUCCGGCAAGUCGGGUGUGAAAGCCCUCGGCUUAACCGAGGAAGUGCAUUCGAAACUACCGGGCUUGAGUACUGGAGAGGGUGACGGAAUUCCCGGUGUAGAGGUGAAAUUCGUAGAUAUCGGGAGGAACACCAGCGGCGAAGGCGGUCACCUGGACAGAUACUGACGCUGAGGCGCGAAAGCGUGGGGAGCAAACAGGAUUAGAUACCCUGGUAGUCCACGCCGUAAACGAUGGGCGCUAGUCGUCGCGGGUAUUGACCCCUGCGGUAACGUAGCUAACGCGUUAAGCGCCCCGCCUGGGGAGUACGGCCGCAAGGCUA